rnacentral:tRNA from 4 species
GCCCCCGUCGUCUAGCCUGGCCUAGGACGCCGGCCUUUCACGCCGGAAACGCGGGUUCAAAUCCCGCCGGGGGUGCCA